GAUGAACGCUGGCGGCGUGCCUAAUACAUGCAAGUCGAGCGAACGGACGAGAAGCUUGCUUUUCUGAUGUUAGCGGCGGACGGGUGAGUAACACGUGGAUAACCUACCUAUAAGACUGGGAUAACUUCGGGAAACCGGAGCUAAUACCGGAUAAUAUUUUGAACCGCAUGGUUCAAAAGUGAAAGACGGUCUUGCUGUCACUUAUAGAUGGAUCCGCGCUGCAUUAGCUAGUUGGUAAGGUAACGGCUUACCAAGGCAACGAUGCAUAGCCGACCUGAGAGGGUGAUCGGCCACACUGGAACUGAGACACGGUCCAGACUCCUACGGGAGGCAGCAGUAGGGAAUCUUCCGCAAUGGGCGAAAGCCUGACGGAGCAACGCCGCGUGAGUGAUGAAGGUCUUCGGACCGUAAAACUCUGUUAUUAGGGAAGAACAUAUGUGUAAGUAACUGUGCACAUCUUGACGGUACCUAAUCAGAAAGCCACGGCUAACUACGUG
rnacentral:rRNA from 1 species